CUAGGUUCAUCCACAUUGCUACAAAUGAUCCAAUUUCACUUCUUUUUUUAUGGUUUGUGAGAUAUCUUUGCCUAACUAAUGCAACGUCACUGUUACUGUUUGAAACGUGUACUCACUCUGGUCCAAACUAGUAUGUUGAAGUCUUAACCCUGACUGCCUUGGAAUGUAACCUUAUAUGGAGACAGAAUCUUUGUAAAGAAUCUUUGUUCAUUCGGAUAUAUGGAAGACUAUUGUUCUGCAUAUUUCCAAUCCCUCUCUUCCCCCAACCUCCGUGGGUGUUGCGCCUGCCUUCACAUCCUGCCGGGCUUGACUCUGGACUCAGUCACCUGAUUGCUUUAGGCAACAGGAUGUCAAUGGAGCCUGUAGCCAGUGAUUUGGAAGAAGCAAGGAAAAGGGAUCAGACAGUUCUUGCUUGAAUGAUACCAUCAUAUACUGGCUUCGUAUGCUUGGGCCUUGGAAGAAAUCUAAAACUGACUCCUACGGAUGCCUUCCUGGUUUGCUUGGUUAACAACCCUGAUUACAACUGUCUUGACAUGGAUGGUGUCUUCUCUUUAUUUUCUACAAUUCUCUCCCUCAGCCCCACUUUUUCUGAUAGUCUAUUCUGCGCAGGUUUUCACUAUUUGAAGUCCAAUAACCCUCUCAGGCAGUGGUCAAAAUGAUUCCAGUCACCUGCUCACUUACAGUCCAUGGGAACCCCUCAUGCUUCCCCUGCUCUGACAAAUUCUGAGCAUUGGGCUGCUCCUGAUGUGGUCCUGUGUUCUGUGCAGGCCACUUUUGUUGUCCCUCUCAUGAAUCAGGCACAGUCCUUUGUACCCCUAUAACUGCAGGGACACACGAAGGCUCUCCAGGUGGCCUGCUGAAGCUUUUAACCCCAGGCUUGAGCUGAGGGAAGAGUACCCAUCCCUUCCCAUAAGGGUGAGUCAGGGAGUCAGUUGUUUUCUCCAAAUAUGUUGAGGGCUUCUUCUGCAUCAACACUCUGAACCCUUUGAAAUCACCAUAUUAUGAGGGUGGGUCUGCCUGACACUCUUAGUAUUCAUUGUAUUUUGGUGUUUCAGUUGAAACUUCUAAUUAACAUCUUAUUAACCUUUCUCUUUAUUUGCUUUGCAUCUAAAGCAUUUUCCAAACUAUAUUAAAGCUCUCCCCCAUGUCAUUAUUACUGUUCUUUCCAGUUGUUUUUGAGGUGAAACCCUGCAUAGACUUGUAGAGAAUCUGAAUUGUUAUGGUGCAGUAUGUAAACUACCGUGCACGAUGUGCAGUGGAUAGUGAGGACUCAAAUGUGAGUUCUUUUGAUAAUCAAGAAAUCACAUACACCGAUACCACCAGUUUCACAAAACGUCUUUGAGAACUGAAAAAUUGAUAUUGAAUGUAAAUGAAUAUGAUUAAUACAAUUUUUCAAAAUUCAGUUGUUUGCUUGAAAGCUGGGAUUUUAUUAUUGGAAACAAAAUACUGUCAGUGAUUUUCUUGAAGUGAUGAGCUCACUUUGUACAUUUUGGAGAAACUGGCUGCCAAAUACGCAAGCCUGAAAAACCAUGGAUCUGUCAGUAGUUCUGUCAUGUAAAAAUUAUGUUCCAUGAAAAAUGUGACCAGAUCAAUGUGCAGUUCAAACUGGUGUGCACAGGCUUUUCCUUGAAACAACCAUUGCUCUUUGGUUUGCAGAAGUGCUUUGGAAGUGUACUUCCUAUUUCGCCACACAGAGUUUUAAAAAUAUGUGUAUUCAUGAAUUGAAAUCUUAUGAAAUUAAUAAUUUUGGCUGCUUCAAGGAUAUUCUUAAGUGAAAUUGACAUUUAAAAAUUAGGGUACCUCUUGGAGAAGAAUAUUACUACUUGCAGAGUUUGGAUUGCUAAGGUGGUUUAAUACACCAGUGCUUUCGCACCAUCCCUACAAAUCUCAACACAGUGAAAAAGGCAAACAAUCUUUUAUUAUUAUUAUGAAAAUGGUUUUGACUUUGUGGACUCCCUAGUCUCAUAGACUAGGGUCCCCCGAGGGAACCACAGUCCACAGUUUGAGAAUUUCUGAUCUAGAACAUUCUCUCAAUCUUGUUUAAAAAAAAAAAUAACCUUUUGUGACAUUGACAUUUUGGCAAAUUUGGGUCAACUUAUUUAUAAAAUGUCCCACAGUUUGCAUUUUCUGAUAGUUUCCUCAGGUUUAGCUUUCAGAUUAAAUAUUUUUGGCAAGAAUAAUAUAGAGGUGAUAUGUACUUCUUAUGCUAUUACAUCAAGAAACACUUACUGUUUGUUUGUCCCAAUAUUGGUAAUUCUAUGUUUGAUUACUUGAUUAUAGGGGUGCCUGACAGAUCUCUUGAUAGUAAAGGUACUAAUUCCCAUUGAAAUUAGUAGCACUUAGAAAUUGACACAUAAUCACCUACGAAAUCAUACUUGGAGACCAUGUGGGUAUCUUGUUCUGCAAAAUGGUUUUAGCAUUUCAUUGAUGAUCUUUGUCUAAAUCAUGAUUAUGUUGGAGACUGCAAAAUGGUGAUUAUUCCUUUUACAUUUAUUCACAGGAGGUAUUAUAUAAAGAAUAAUAUCACCUGUUUCAUUCCAUCUAUUUCUCUUUAUAGACUCAUAGAUUCUUUUCUUUUUAACAAUUCAAUAAAUUAAUUGGGCAAAUGAGAACCUUUUAAAA